CUCCUACGGGGGCAGCAGUAAGGAAUAUUGGUCAAUGGGCGGAAGCCUGAACCAGCCAUGCCGCGUGCAGGAAGACGGCCCUACGGGUUGUAAACUGCUUUUAUACGGGAAUAAACCCACCUACGUGUAGGUGGCUGAAUGUACUGUAAGAAUAAGGAUCGGCUAACUCCGUGCCAGCCGCCGCGGUAAUAC
rnacentral:rRNA from 1 species